rnacentral:rRNA from 1 species
GACGAACGCUGGCGGCGUGCUUAACACAUGCAAGUCGAACGAAGUGGCGAAAGGGUGAGUAAUACGUGGGUAACCUGCCCUCCUUUUUGGGAUAAGCCUUGGAAACGGGGUCUAAUACCGAAUAAAGGGGGAUGGGCUCGCGGCCUAUCAGCUUGUUGGUGGGGUGAUGGCCGACCAAGGCGGGGACGGGUAGCCGGCCUGAGUGGGUGACCGGCCACAGUGACACGGGGCAACCGCCCAGACUCCUACGAGAUGCAGCAUUGUGGGCUAGUGCACAAAGGGCGAAAGACUGAUGCAGCGACGCCGCGUGGGGGAUGAGGGCUUUCGAGUUGUAAACCUCUUUCGCUAUCGAACCGGUACCUGGAGAAGAAGCGCCGGCUAACUACGUGCCAGCCGCCGCGGUAAUAC